rnacentral:rRNA from 1 species
CAGUCGCCGCGGUAACACAGAGGGUGCGAGCGUUAAUCGGAUUUACUGGGCGUAAAGCGUGCGUAGGCGGCUAAUUGAGUCGGAUGUGAAAUCCCCGAGCUUAACUUGGGAAUUGCAUUCGAUACUGGUUAGCUAGAGUGUGGGAGAGGAUGGUAGAAUUCCAGGUGUAGCGGUGAAAUGCGUAGAGAUCUGGAGGAAUACCGAUGGCGAAGGCAGCCAUCUGGCCUAACACUGACGCUGAGGUACGAAAGCAUGGGGAGCAAACAGGAUUAGAGACCCCAGUAGUCCCUGUCUCUUAUAC